rnacentral:rRNA from 1 species
UACGUAGGGGGCAAGCGUUGUCCGGAAUCAUUGGGCGUAAAGCGCGCGUAGGCGGCCCGGUAAGUCCGCUGUAAAAGUCCAGGGCUCAACCCUGGAAAGCCGGUGGAUACUGUCGGGCUAGAGUCCGGAAGAGGAGAGUGGAAUUCCCGGUGUAGCGGUGAAAUGCGCAGAUAUCGGGAAGAACACCCGUGGCGAAGGCGGCUCUCUGGGACGGUACUGACGCUGAGACGCGAAAGCGUGGGGAGCGAACAGG